rnacentral:rRNA from 1 species
UGGGGGAUAUUGCACAAUGGGGGAAACCCUGAUGCAGCAACGCCGCGUGAGGGAUGAAGGUUUUCGGAUUGUAAACCUCUGUCCUUAGUGAAGAAUUUUUGACGGUAACUAAGGAGGAAGCUCCGGCUAACUACGUGCCAGCAGCCGCGGUAAUACGUAGGGAGCAAGCGUUGUCCGGAUUUAUUGGGUGUAAAGGGUGCGUAGGCGGCUUUGUAAGUCAGACGUGUAAUGCAGGGGCUUAACCUCUGAACUGCGUUUGAAACUGCUUAGCUUGAGUGGAGUAGAGGCAGAUGGAAUUUCCAGUGUAGCGGUGAAAUGCGUAGAUAUUGGAAGGACACCAGUGG